AGCACUUUUUUUGCACUUGGGUGACAUGAAGCACGCUCAGGCUUCAAUAAAAAAAAAAAAAUCUGUUCUUAUCAGUUUAAUAUCUGAUACGUCCCCUAUCUGGGGACCAUAUAUUAAAUGGAUUUUUGGAACAGGGAGAUGGAAGAAGAGCUUGCUCUGUCCACUCCACGCAUCGACCUGGUAUUGCAGUACCUCCAGGACCGGUGCACCUCUC
rnacentral:snRNA from 1 species